GAAAUAUGCCAUGGAUCCACCAGAGACAGACGCUAGGAAUUUUACCUGGGGAGUAUCCAUUAGAAAGAAACAAGGAGAACUGAGAAAAAAUGAAAAAUACCAACCAACCAAGCUAAAGUUUAUCUAGUAUGUGAUUGCUAAAGAAGCCAGAGUUUUGUGUGGAAAUGCCUUAAAUUAUAACACCAUUUCAAUCAUUCCAAACAUAUAUUUGAAAGUCUUGAAACAAUAAGAACAGGAUUCGGUCUCCUAGUCAGUGUUGCGGGUACUCCAUGAUUUGAGUAUAACAGAAAGAGCCUCUGUACUCAAGAAUUCCGAGCAGCUUGGGAUGUCUGUAAAAGCCUUGGACAAAAUGAAACCAGUUCAAAUUCUAGCAUGUGUGGAGGAGGAGGACAUGAGCCGGACUCCUGAAUGAGCGAUGACAAGGUCUCUAGUCAAGGCUAGUUUUAUAUUGCCUAUGCAUUCGAGAAUAAGAAUAAGAAGAAUUCUUCUUCCAAGAGUCAAAUCCUGGGACCACAAGUGUACAUGACCAUGCACAUUUUGUCGGGUGAUGGAUUUAUGAUCCAGUUCCUCCUGUAUGAAUUGAUAUUGAACUUGAACUUGAAGUUCGAUAAGCACUUCAGAAGACUGAGAUUGAAUUUUUGGAAGAGACAUUGUUUAAGGAAAGGAAUGUGGGCAAUAUGCAUUUACAGGGUUCUAAAUGUGGUUGUCACUGCUCAUACAAAGAAGUCUUCAUGCUGUCUCCUGAAAAGUCUUUUGGUCUUUAAAAAUAGUUCUGAUUAUGCAUUUUAACACUGGGACAUAAAGGUUUGUGAUUUUGGCUAUAUAAAUCAAAUUAGAAAACAAAAGAAGAAAAAAGAUAAAAAAACAACUGAAUACAUGUUACCCGGUUGAGAUUAUUUUCUAUUGUAUUGUGAAUUUCAGCACUUUAUAAGGGUGUCUGUUCAUUUUGAGUUUAAAAGUAAUGCAAAAAUCAAAAUUGUGGUCAGAGUACUUCAUUUUGGGUACUGGAUGACUCAUCACUUUCAUAUUGUGAACGUUGAGAGAAUAAUUCUUUUGAGACCAGUCAUGUAUAAAUCUUGGAAACUAGGUUUCAUAAAAAUCUUACUAAUUCUGUGAUCUACCACAAAUAUUAAAAAGAAGUAAAGUUAAACUUUAAAAUCUAAAUAUGUUGUUUUCAAUUAAGAACCAUGGCUCUGCAGGAUGGUUGUAAAGGUAGGCAAGGAAAAUUAAAAUAAAUGGCAAAAGAAAGGAGGUAGAGUGAGAGAGAAGCCAUGUAGCCCCAUCCAAUACAGACAUGCUGAAACUUUAGCCGGUAAACCCCAGCCACCUGGUUAUACACAAAUUAAUGGAGAUGGGUAAAUUAAUAUGUAAGAGUUAGCCAGAAAUAUGCUUAAGCUAUUAGCCAAACAAUAUUGCAAAUAAUAUAGUUUUUGCGUGAUUAUUUUUGGGUUUAAGCUGCCGGGUGCCUGCAAACAAGUUAUCUCCUCCUAACAACAAAUUGGCACUCAAUUGGGGCUUGAACCAAUGACAAUGAGAUUAAGAGACUCAUGCUCUACCUACUGAACUAGCCAGAGGGCCAGGAAAUAGGGAGUCUCCUUUUAACAACAAGCCUGGUUUACACAGUGAGUUCCAGGACAGUCAGGGCUGUCACACAGAAAAAACCUGAACUAUGGCUAUUACUGACUAGGUACAAGGGUAAGUGGGAGGAAGGACAUAAACAUAAAGCAGAAUGCCAGUGUUUGGAGUUUGGUAAAUACUACAGUGACUUAUACCUCAAAUCUCAGGUGUUAUUACAUGGAUGAUAAUGAGAAAAUUCAUAGAUGACUCAUCUGGUGUGGGGACUUGCAUUUCAAAAAAGUAUAUAAAGAACCGGUGAAGUACCCAGAAUCCCAGCCAAUAAGAUGAAUUUUAAAGUCACUAGAGUCCUAUAUUUGAUCUGGACAUAUGACCAAACCAAGGGGAAAAGAGGGAUGAUUGGAUUUGAGGUCUGUUUUGUAAGUGUGUAGAGCUUAGCCUCAGGCAAAGAGGGCAUUUCUUCCUUGCCUACCUCAGGUCAAGGUUGAGGGAAGAUCUAGCCUACACUUACAAAAAAUGAAAAAAGAAAAUCCUAACAAUGAAUAUUACCAAAUAACAUAACAAUAUCUACUUGCACAAUCCAAACACUCAAAUACGUGAAACACACACACACUAUCACUUACCUUCAAUUCUGCAAUGGAUAUUCAAUCUGCAAACAACUUGAUUGUAAAUAGAUAUAUGUUUGCUUCGUCGGAUAUUUAAGUUGAAUUUUACCUUCUGAGAAGCUAUUAGAACAUAGUAUUCUUGUGAUUUUAUUUUACAGAAUAAUGUUUAAGGAUAAUAGUAUUUUCUAGUUGUGUAAUUGUCCAGGUACACUGCAAUGACUUCAUCAGUUCAACACAAAUGCUCUGUAUAUUCAAAGGACAACUUUCUGGUAAAACAAUGUUGUAGCAACAGAAUACAAAAUGGGUUAGGAUAAGUGGAUGUGAUUGGAACACAUAAUUGAUAUAUUGAAAUGGAAGCUGACAUGGAACAGCAGAGAUGAGAGAGUGGGUGAAGGAUGUGCUCAGUACAUCUUCCAGAGUGCUCAUCAUUCAAACCACAAAUUCUACCUCUGGAAAAACCCUGUAUAUGACAUACAUAUGACUAUUUUGUAUUCCUUUCUCAGACUUGGUUUUAGCAAGCACUAACUGUAAAAAUGAACCUUAAAUUGUUAAUCCCAUUGUACAAGGAAGUACUACAGAUUAUAAGAAAUCUAAAAUUUAAAGAUACAUCUAUGUAAUUCACUCUACCUGUAUAGAGAUGAUAGGGCACUUAAUUCCUUCUUGAUACUAAAAUCAAGUAAUUUUAGACAAGAAUAGAAUAAUAUUUUAAAUCAAAAAUAGAGAUGAUGUCUAUAUCAUCAGAGUAAUGAGAUAAUCACCUUGGAUUGAUUAGUUGCUUAGGAUGGAUCCUCUAAAGUCUUGACAUAGAAGAGUGAAUUAGAAUUGGUGGUAAAACAGGAAGGCAUCAUUAACAAGUGAAGGAGACAAAAAUAUUAUCAGAACUGGGGUUAUUAUCCAUGGACUAAGCAGAGUAGAAGGCAGAAUGUUCACAAAUUAAGAGACGGAAGUCAGGAAGAAGGCAAUGUCAUGAGCUUAAAUUCUUAAUAAUAACAAACAAUGCACGGAUCAAAAAGUAGUAAAAAUAUAUGUUGUCGAUAUUUCAAAAAUUUUGAUGCAUUAUUACAGCCCCAAUUUUACAUGUUUUUAUGUUUUCUGGGACUCAUAUUUUCAAUAUAUAAACAGUAUUAGUAUUUAAAAUAAUUAAAAUAACAUUUUGCAUAAAAAUUCAUACAUCUGAGAGGGACAUUAGAAAGUCUCAAUGUCAGUCAAUUACUUCUACAAGAAAAGUAAUCAGUUUAAGUAUGGUGGCACAUUUUUUAUAUUUUUAGCAGCUGGGAUGCUAAGAGCAGCCUAGGCUAUAAACUGAAUUCUAGAAUGUUCUGAGGUAUAAGUGAAGCCCUCUCUUAAAGAGGAUAGGUUUAAGUGGAGAAAAUGAGUCUAAAAAGAAAAAGAUGCUGAAACAUACAUAUACAAAUAUAUACAUAUAAAUAAAUAUUUUACAUAUAUAUAUACAUAAAUAUGUAAAGAAAGAGUAGACUUAAUAUGGUAAAUAAUGAUCCCACAAGAGGUCAUAAGUUGCUCAAUGUCAGGUGUGGGAUAUUUCCACUUAGGUUUUUGUUUAGGAGUUUUCCAACGACCCCACAUAUUCAGAUUAUUCUCAUUGCUCUUGAUUGCCAUUAGAACUUGUUAAUAAGUCUCUUUAGCUAAUAACAUCAAACUUUUAGUCAAGAACUUGAAGAUAUCUUCAAGAAGCUUCUUCCUUGUUGGUUAAUUUUCUCAGUACCUGAAGAUGGUACAAAUGAUUGGAAAAAGGUUGGUGGAGAAAUGCCAUCAAUGAUUUUAUUGAAUUGUGAAUCCAAUGUGCUGAAAUAAGACCAGCUUGGCACAAUAUGUCUGUGUGUAAAAAUAGCAUGAAUAUUAUGGCAUAAUCAGCCCCAUUCUGAUUAGAUUUUGAGAGCUUCUGCAGGAAUAAAUCCAUGAACAAUUUUGUAAAUCUUCCCAAGAACCUGUGACAGGGAAGUUCAUAGUCCCUAGGUGGUGUAGAAAGUGCCUUCUGUUUGCAUGUUGUUUUCAUUGGUUAAUCAAUAAUCAUGGAAAUGUUUGCUGGAUACUAUGGGCCUGUAGGCUAAAGAU